UACGUAGGGUGCGAGCGUUAAUCGGAAUUACUGGGCGUAAAGCGUGCGCAGGCGGUUCGUUAAGUCAGCUGUGAAAGCCCCGGGCUUAACCUGGGAAUGGCGGUUGAAACUGGCGAACUUGAAUCUGGCAGAGGGGGGUGGAAUUCCACGUGUAGCAGUGAAAUGCGUAGAGAUGUGGAGGAAUACCGAUGGCGAAGGCAGCCCCCUGGGAUAACACUGACGCUCAUGCACGAAAGCGUGGGGAGCAAACAGG
rnacentral:rRNA from 1 species